rnacentral:rRNA from 1 species
UACGGAGGGAGCAAGCGUUACUCGGAAUUAUUGGGCGUAAAGGGCGCGUAGGCGAUCUGAUAAGUCUCAUGUGAAAACCCAGGGCUUAACUUUGGAAUGGCAUGAGAAACUGUUGGAUUUGAGUUCCGGAGAGGAAGGCAGAAUUCCCGGUGUAGCGGUGAAAUGCGUAGAUAUCGGGAGGAAUACCAGUGGCGAAGGCGGCCUUCUGGACGGAUACUGACGCUGAGGCGCGAAAGCCAGGGGAGCAAAC